GAUGAACGCUGGCGGCGUGCCUAAUACAUGCAAGUCGAGCGAACAGACCCGGCGCUUGCUCCUCUGACGUUAGCGGCGGACGGGUGAGUAACACGUGGAUAACCUACCUAUCAGUCUGGUAUAACUUCGGGAAUCCGGCGCUAAUCCCGGAUAAUAUAUUGAACCGCAUGGUUCAAUAGUGAAAUACGGUUUUGCUGUCACUUAUAGAUGGAUCCGCGCCGCAUUAGAUAGUUGGUAAGGUAACGGCUUACCAAGGCGACGAUGCGUAGACGACCUGAGAGAGUGAUCGGCCGCAUGAGAGCGUGACCGCGGACCAGAAGACUAAGAGAGGCAGCAGAAGGGAAUCGUACGCAGUAGGCGAAAGCAUGACGGAGCAAGGCCGAGUGAGAGAUAAAGGUGUUGGGAGCGUAAAAAUGUGUUACGAGGGAAGAACAAAUGUGUAAGGAAAUAUGCAGGGAGUGACGGUAACGAAUCAGAAAGCAACGGCUAACUACGUG
rnacentral:rRNA from 1 species